rnacentral:rRNA from 1 species
ACGGGAUUAGAUACCCCCGGUAGUCCACGCUGUAAACGAUGGAUGCUAGCAGUGUGCCGUAUCGACCCGGUGCGUUGCGAAGCUAACGCAUUAAGCAUCCCGCCUGAGUAGUACGAUCGCAAGAUUAAAACUCAAAGGAAUUGACGGGGACCCGCACAAGCGGUGGAGCGUGUUGUUUAAUCGGAUGGUAAGCCUAGAACCUUACCAGGGUUUGACAUCCUUGGAAUUUCGCCGAAAGGUGAGAGUGCUUUAUUGAGCCAAGUGACAGGUGAUGCAUGGCCGUCGUCAGCUCGUGUCGUGAGAUGUUUGGUUAAGUCCAUCAACGAGCGCAACCCUUAUGGUUAGUUGGAUUUUUCUAGCCAGACUGCCUCGGUAACGGGGAGGAAGGAGGGGAUGAUGUCAGGUCGUUAUUUCCCUUACACCCUGGGCUACAAACGCGCUACAAUGGCCGGUACAAUGGGCAGCCAAGCUGUGAAGCGGAGCAAAUCCCAUCAAAGCCGGUCCCAGUUCGGAUAAGAGGCUGAAACUCGCCUCUUUGAAGUCGGAAUCGCUAGUAAUCGCAGGUCANGCACACUGCGGUGAAUACGUUCCCGGGUCUUGUACACACCGCCCGUCAAGCCAUGAAAGUCACCAACACCCGAAGUCUGAAUUUAUUUCGGCCUAAGGUGGGGGGGAUAAUUGGGGUU